rnacentral:lncRNA from 1 species
CUAUCAUUGUCGAGAAUGUUAACCAUUUACAUCUCUCUUGAUGUUUCUGAAGGUGUCAGUCAAUGCAGAUUCAUCAUCUCCUCCUAGCUUUCCUUUUUCUCAUCUAAACUAUUGUUGUUGUUGUCUUCACUGCUUCUAGCGUUCUCAGGUUCCUUAGCUUCACCGCCAACUCUCUCUGUGGAGUUCUUGUUUCCUUCAAUUGUUGGACAGAGCUUCGGUUUUUUCUUACACUCCUCUCGCUCAUCUUCUCUGCAACGGCAUCUCUUCUCCCUUCCCUUCACUGAGUCUUCUGUCUGUUUCUGCUGAGGAGUUUUAUUGUCUUCAUCAUCAUCUUCGUCAUCCUCAUAAUCAAGCACGCGUUCAGACCUAUGUCAUUAAUAGAAAUCAGCACUCAAAUCCGUUAACCCUCUACUUGUUGCAUUGUGACACACCUUCUAUAGAGAGAGGGUAGCGAGAGAAAAAUACCUCAAAGGAGAAGAACUUGCAGCUUCUCCAUUGGAAUUAUCGGGAUUAGCUUCUUCUUUCUGUGUACUAGAAUCAAAAGCUGACUUCUCUCCAUCGCUGUUAGUAUAGAACAUAUUCGAGAAAAGGUCAAGAGAAAAAGAAAACAAAAAAUCCGUUAAUGUUUUGAACACUCUAGGGGAUGAAUCCACCUGUUUUCUCUCAUAUCAACUGGAUCAGUGUUGCUCUUUGGUCCCAAACUUUCUAUGCACUGAAGACACAUUACAUUGUUAGAACAAAGAUUACUGUAGGAAAUUUUCCAAAGUGGAAGUUGGAUCGAAGAAUGAUAAUACCUGCUCAUUUUUUAAAGCCUGGAUGGAGCUCCGGUGCUCAAAUGGAGCCAGCUGGUCCCAAAAUGUAUCAACUACGUAUUUGAGCAACACAGUUGCUUUUGCCUGCACACAAAAAACUGUGAUAUGUACGGAGGAACACCACUAAGAAACAAAUUGAGAAGAGGAUGAAAAUAGAUACCUUGCGUAUGUGCUCAAAAAGCGCCAAGAUAGAAGAAAUCAGCAAAUCGUCAUGAUUACCACCGGCAACAAAAACAUCUAUGAUCGGUUUCAGCAAGUUUUUCUUUACAACGUAACUCUGGACAUUCUCAUCCUGAAGUAGAAAAAUACUUUUUUUAGAACUUGCAUACCCAUCAUAGUCGUUCCAGAAGCUUUUGUAGCGCCAUUAUAGAAUCUGCUUUCAUCCAGUUUUCUAUAACAUGACAUGUGAAACUGAACUACAACUUGCCAAAGUAAUUUUACGAGAAUCAAAAAUUUUAAUACAAAGAAGAACAUCUGAGCCUCAGUUUUCGACUAAUACAGAUAACCAAAUUUCAUCCUGUCAGAUUCAUUCUCAUAUAAGUAUAAUAAAAAAUGCUGACCGAAGACUACUUACAAGGACAGAGAGGAGAGUGCGGAAAAAUCGAACAGCCGCAGCCACUAUGGAUUUCUCCUUUCUUCGUGUGAGAAACAAAACCUUUUCUGUCACAUUUUGAAGGAGAAAACUGCAUGUGGCAGACAAGAGAAGUAAAUGCACAAGAAUACUAGAUAGCUACUGUAGUGUAGGUAAAACAGUAAAAUGGUAAUCAUCAUAAAAAGGUUACGUUGUCCUUGAUGGAUCCUGCUGAACGCAAAAGCACAGCAAUUCACAAAUGUUCAGUAGGCUGCUAACUCUUCCGGGUGUACUUUCAGAUGUAUCGCCAGGCUUUUCAGGACAUGAGGUAGUAAUGAAAUUAACUAACUCAGGUAUAUGCUUCUCACAGAAAAUAUCCAUAAUAUUCCCUCCCUGCAAACAAUGAUAAAAAGUUACCAAAGAAUUAUGUUUAAUAGAAAGCAAGAAGUCUUGCAGAUAAAGAAAGAAAGAAAGAAAAAUAAAGUAUGCACCUGAGCUCCAGCCGAUAAUGCACUUGAAGCCAAUAAAAUUCGAAAAAUUUCUAGCAUCUUAACACCAAAAUCUUCCAUCAAUCCCUUAACCUAUCACAGAUAAUGAGAACCAAUUAUUUUCUAAUAUAAAAAAGAAACAGUGAACAGCCUCGCAGCCGAAAACAAAAACAAUCCAAAAGAGAACAAGACUUUAAGAAAAAAUUACCAGGAGACCAAGGAGGGGAGUUUCCGGUUUAACAAGAUAGGAGUGUAAGAGUUUGGGAUCUGCAGUCAAGAAAAUGAGGAGGAUAUCUGCCCUGCAUCCAUUAUACAAUAAUAGAGCUGGAAAUUAUUUACCGAGGGGAUAAUUAGCUAUCAUGUAUAAUUAAUUAGCUAGAGGUGAUUAUAUACCCAGUUAAUACGGGUCGGGUGUCUGGAAGCUGCAAGACUUCUCCUAUUACGUCAAAAAUUCCUUCAUCUAUAAGUUCUCCACACACAUGAUUAAGUAGACAGAAAUCUCAAAAGCGUGAAGUUAUAAUCAUAGAAUUGUAAUGCAAUAGCUGCUACACACAUGAUCAAUUUCAGAAGACUAAUUCUCAGUACCAAUAGAUUUAGUUUCCGAAAAGUACAUACUUAAAGAGCCGUAGCUUCAGCUCCAUCUCAAGGCUCUUGCUUAGACUGCAAAACUCGUGCAAGAAAUGUACCUAUAUUUUGGAAGCAAAAAAAACACAUCAGUCUAACUCACCCAAGAAACAAUUUGGUUUUGAUGCUAUAUCAAGAUCAUCUACUAUCAGGCUAGACAAGAAUGGCUCUAGUUUCUCGACAGCUACAUCACUGCUUUCCCAAAAUAUAGAAACUUAAGAAAGUGACGCCCUCAUGAUGCCAGGACAUACCAAAUCACUCUUAGAUUCCACAGAUGUGGAAGGUGACCGUAACCUUGCAAAUAACUCUUGAAAGAAGUUGCUGUCAUCCUUCAGCAAUGUAACAAUCUGAAAAAUAUGGGGGUGCAUAAUAGCAGUUCUGAUGAUUUAUUAUAUGCAUUCUGUUACAUAUUAAAUUAGAUAAUGUUUAUUUGGACGACUUACAGCAGCUUUGUUUGCAUUGAUUAUUGAAUCUAGGCUUGUAGCUGUAGCAUCAUCUACUACUCUACUCAAAAUAACAUCCUGUAAGAAAUGAGAGAAAUGAGACAUUUUCUGAAGAAUAAAAUGUUUUCAGAAGAGUUCAUGGGACUGAACCUUCAGAUAACCAAUUCUGUAUGUUUGGUGUAUCUUCGACAGGACCAUGGGAUUCUUAAUUGGUAUAGCCUGCCAACAAUAAUGGGAUUUAAUAAUGUUUUCAAGUCUCAAUUCACUGCUUCUAGCGUUCUCAGGUUCUUUAGCUUCACCGCCAUCUCUCUCUGUGGAGAUCUUGUUUCCUUCAAUUGUUGGACAGAGCUUCGGUUUUUUCUUACACUCAUCUUGCUCAUCUUCUCUGCAACGGCAUCUCUUCUCCCUUCCCUUCACUGAGUCUUCUGUCU